AACAUCGCGCACCUGCGGGAACCUGCGGAAGGAUCAUUACAGAGUUGCAAGACUCCCUAAACCAUUGUGAACCUACCUUCUACCGUUGCUUCGGCGGGCGGGCCCAGCGCCCCCCCCGGCCCCCCGCGGGCGCCCGCCGGAGGAUACCCAAACUCUUGACAUUAGUGGCCUCUCUGAGUAUUCUUUACUGAAUAAGUCAAAACUUUUAACAACGGAUCU
rnacentral:misc_RNA from 1 species